rnacentral:rRNA from 1 species
AUGAACGCUGGCGGCGUGCUUAACACAUGCAAGUCGAACGGGAUCCAUCAAGCUUGCUUGGUGGUGAGAGUGGCGAACGGGUGAGUAAUGCGUGACCGACCUGCCCCAUACACCGGAAUAGCUCCUGGAAACGGGUGGUAAUGCCGGAUGCUCCAGUUGAUCGCAUGGUCUUCUGGGAAAGCUUUCGCGGUAUGGGAUGGGGUCGCGUCCUAUCAGCUUGACGGCGGGGUAACGGCCCACCGUGGCUUCGACGGGUAGCCGGCCUGAGAGGGCGACCGGCCACAUUGGGACUGAGAUACGGCCCAGACUCCUACGGGAGGCAGCAGUGGGGAAUAUUGCACAAUGGGCGCAAGCCUGAUGCAGCGACGCCGCGUGAGGGAUGGAGGCCUUCGGGUUGUAAACCUCUUUUAUCGGGGAGCAAGCGAGAGUGAGUUUACCCGUUGAAUAAGCACCGGCUAACUACGUGCCAGCAGCCGCGGUAAUACGUAGGGUGCAAGCGUUAUCCGGAAUUAUUGGGCGUAAAGGGCUCGUAGGCGGUUCGUCGCGUCCGGUGUGAAAGUCCAUCGCUUAACGGUGGAUCCGCGCCGGGUACGGGCGGGCUUGAGUGCGGUAGGGGAGACUGGAAUUCCCGGUGUAACGGUGGAAUGUGUAGAUAUCGGGAAGAACACCAAUGGCGAAGGCAGGUCUCUGGGCCGUUACUGACGCUGAGGAGCGAAAGCGUGGGGAGCGAACAGGAUUAGAUACCCUGGUAGUCCACGCCGUAAACGGUGGAUGCUGGAUGUGGGGCCCGUUCCACGGGUUCCGUGUCGGAGCUAACGCGUUAAGCAUCCCGCCUGGGGAGUACGGCCGCAAGGCUAAAACUCAAAGAAAUUGACGGGGGCCCGCACAAGCGGCGGAGCAUGCGGAUUAAUUCGAUGCAACGCGAAGAACCUUACCUGGUCUUGACAUCCCUAUGAAUAACGGGCAAUGCCGUUAGUACUUCGGUACAUAGGAGACAGGUGGUGCAUGGUUGUCGUCAGCUCGUGUCGUGAGAUGUUGGGUUAAGUCCCGCAACGAGCGCAACCCUCGCCCCGUGUUGCCAGCGGAUUAUGCCGGGAACUCACGGGGGACCGCCGGGGUUAACUCGGAGGAAGGUGGGGAUGACGUCAGAUCAUCAUGCCCCUUACGUCCAGGGCUUCACGCAUGCUACAAUGGCCGGUACAACGGGAUGCGACGCGGCGACGCGGAGCGGAUCCCUGAAAACCGGUCUCAGUUCGGAUCGCAGUCUGCAACUCGACUGCGUGAAGGCGGAGUCGCUAGUAAUCGCGAAUCAGCAACGUCGCGGUGAAUGCGUUCCCGGGCCUUGUACACACCGCCCGUCAAGUCAUGAAAGUGGGCAGCACCCGAAGCCGGUGGCCUAACCCCUUGUGGGAUGGAGCCGUCUAAGGUGAGGCUCGUGAUUGGGACU